UGGGGAAUUUUGGACAAUGGGCGAAAGCCUGAUCCAGCAAUGCCGCGUGUGUGAAGAAGGCCUUCGGGUUGUAAAGCACUUUUGUCCGGAAAGAAAUCCUUGGCUCUAAUACAGUCGGGGGAUGACGGUACCGGAAGAAUAAGCACCGGCUAACUACGUGCCAGCAGCCGCGGUAAUACGUAGGGUGCAAGCGUUAAUCGGAAUUACUGGGCGUAAAGCGUGCGCAGGCGGUUUGCUAAGACCGAUGUGAAAUCCCCGGGCUCAACCUGGGAACUGCAUUGGUGACUGGCAGGCUAGAGUAUGGCAGAGGGGGGUAGAAUUCCACGUGUAGCAGUGAAAGUGCGUAGAGAUGUGGAGGAAUACCGAUGGCGAAGGCAGCCCCCUGGGCC
rnacentral:rRNA from 1 species